rnacentral:rRNA from 1 species
AACAAACGCUGGCGGCGUGCCUAAUACAUGCAAGUCGAACGGGGAAAGUAGCAAUAUGAGUACUAGUGGCGCACGGGUGAGUAAUGCAUGGGUAAUCUGCCCUCAAGCUGGGGAUAACCGGUCGAAAGACUGGCUAAUACCGAAUGAGACCACAAGAACUGAGGUUCUAGGGGUUAAAGGUUUUUCGCUUGAGGAUGAGCCCAUGUGGGAUUAGCUAGUUGGUGAGGUAAUGGCUCACCAAGGCGACGAUCCCUAACUGGUCUUAGAGGAUGAUCAGUCGCACUGGAACUGAGACACGGUCCAGACUCCUACGGGAGGCAGCAGUAGGGAAUAUUGCGCAACGGGGGAAACCCUGACGCAGCGACGCCGCGUGAGUGAUGAAGGCCUUCGGGUCGUAAAGCUCUGUCGUAUGGGACUAACAAAAUGAAGGUACCAUGCAAGAAAGGAUCGGCUAACUUCGUGCCAGCCGCCGCCGUAA